UUGUUUUCAUGUUGUUUUGAUUUUCAAAUCGUUAUUGUUCAUCCUUCCAUUUCUAUAUGUAAAUGCAGGUAUAUUGGAUAUUUUAUCUGGGGACUAAGCAUCUUGAGGCCCUGAUUGAAUUGCACAACAUGACAGUACUACACACCUUUGCAAGGAAUGUUCAGCACUUAAUGCACUCUGUAGUUACUAAUUUAACUGUCAUCAUUUUAGCUACAGCAUUGUAGUAAUGUCCAACGUAUGAACAUGGAAGGAAAGGAAGGAAGGAAGUAAUGUCUGUUGCUAAGCUAUUAGAAAGACAUUCGGCAUUGUCUGAGAAUCUUCGCAGUAGAGAAGAUGCAGAGCAUUUAUCUGAUAUCUAUUCAGAAUGAAUUGGCAGAUUAACAGUCCUUUCUUUAAUUUAUUUGUAUUAUUUGAUUUAUAUCCAUCUUUAAAAAUUGCAGGAUUCUGCAUUUCUUUAAUGUACGAACAUGGAAGGAAAGGAAGGAAUGUCCUGCUAAUUAACGCCAGGCCGCAAGAGAAAGACAGGAGUUGAGGCCUGUGUCCACUACUGAUGACAAACAAUAGUGAUUGAUAUCUAUUGUAUGAAAAUUUGUUUCCAAGUUGGGUCACUGCAGGAUCAAAGAUGAAAAUAUUGUUUGUUUUUAUAUUUUAAAAAUAUAUUUUUAAAAAAAUUAAAUUAAAAAACAAUUAUUACAACAAUCUCAGUCACUUUAAAUUACAUUACAUUGCAGUUAAUGUAUGGACCCACUUCUUUUGUCCCCAUUUGUGUUUUUCCAAGCAACCAUGAGUUUGUGGGUUACAUCACCAUCAAAACACACGACCAAACACGAAAGAAAAACAGCCAAACUCGUCAUUUUCACUAAUGGAAGAAGCCUCAAGGCAAUCAUGGUGUCCACAAGGGCAAUCAAACGAAGCACUCAUAAUUCCCUCUUGAAAAACUGCAUGGUGAUCGCAUAUGGGGAGUUUAUAUAGUUAUGGCCCUUGGGAGUGGCUUUGGUUCAAUGUUUCUACAAACACCUUGUCUUUCUGAUUCAGAUGGUGUUUCUUCUUAAAGGGUGUAGGGAAUAGGAAUUAGUACUUCAAUCAUUUUGGGGUGGAAAAUGAUGGCCAAGGAGACGCUGCAGUACCAGGGCACACCCUUUUGUUUUCCUCAUAUCAAGUUACUCACGGUUAAAUCCUCGUGCUAAUUUUUUUUUACAGCGUGUUAUCAGCAGCCACCCACCCACCUUGCCUUGUCCAAACCAUUGCUGAGGAUUCUGCAUUUCUUUAAUGUACGAACAUGGAAGGAAAGGAAGGAGUGUCCUGCUAAUUAAUGCCAGGCCACAAGAGAAAGAAGGAGUUGAGGCCUGUUUCCUCUACUGAUGACAAACAAUAGCGAUUGAUAUCUAUUGUAUGAAAAUUUGUUUCCAAGUUGGGUCACUGCUGGAUCAAAGAUUUGCAGUUAAUGUGUCCAGCCACUUCUUUUGUCCCCAUUUGUGUUUUGCCUAGCAACCAUGAGUUUGAGGGUUA